ACUCAAAGGAAUAGACGGGGGCCCGCACAAGCGGCGGAGCAUGCGGAUUAAUUCGAUGCAACGCGAAGAACCUUACCAAGGCUUGACAUAUACCGGAAAUGGCUGGAAACAGUCCCCCCGCAAGGUCGGUAUACAGGUGGUGCAUGGUUGUCGUCAGCUCGUGUCGUGAGAUGUUGGGUUAAGUCCCGCAACGAGCGCAACCCUCGUUCUAUGUUGCCAGCACGUAAUGGUGGGAACUCAUAGGAGACUGCCGGGGUCAACUCGGAGGAAGGUGGGGAUGACGUCAAAUCAUCAUGCCCCUUAAGUCUUGGGCUUCACGCAUGCUACAAUGGCCGGUACAAAGGGCUGCAAUACCGCAAGGUGGAGCGAAUCCCAAAAAGCCGGUCUCAGUUCGGAUUGAGGUCUGCAACUCGACCUCAUGAAGUCGGAGUCGCUAGUAAUCGCAGAUCAGCAACGCUGCGGUGAAUACGUUCCCGGGCCUUGCACACACCGCCCGU
rnacentral:rRNA from 1 species